rnacentral:tRNA from 1 species
GCGGAAGUGGCGAAAUUGGUAGACGCACCAGAUUUAGGUUCUGGCGCCGCGAGGCGUAAGAGUUCAAGUCU